UUUCAAGAAAUGUUAUUUAAUAUACAGAUGGCUGACAUCUUUUCCCAGAUUGUGUUUUUGUUUUUUGGAGGGGGAAGCUGAAUAUGAACUGGAAGUUAAAAAAAUUAAAAAAAAAAAAAAAAAACUUGCUCAUUUUUAUUGUAUAUUUUUGCUCUAAAGCAUUUUCCACUGUGUGUGGAGUGGAUUCAUUCACUAAACCAGAUGAUGAAGACUCGACUUACUACCGAGGCUCUGCCUCUGCCAUGGUGUCUCCAACAACUGCUCGCCUGACAAGCUCCAGAACACAAAGGUGGUCAUCCUUCUUCCAUGAAAGGAAGCCAAGACAGGUGAUCAGCAGAGGCAUUGGUGAUGAGGAAUGCUGAAGUCCAUCUACAAAUGUGGCCUUAAUAGCAGGGAGAACACUGCAGCCAGGAUGUCAACUUCUCCUGUCCCUGGAACUCCAGGCUAUCUGGCCUCUGGACUCUGGAAAUUACCCCAGUCACUCCAGGUUCUCCAGCCUUUGGUUGUAGACUGAGAAUUCCACCAUCAGCUUCCCUGGGUCUGAGAUCUUCAGACUUGGCCUGAGCCACGCUACCAGCUUCUCGGGUUCUCCAGCUUGCAGAUGGCCUAGCAUAGGACUUCUCCAUAAUCACAUGAUCCAGUUUCCCUACUAGAUCCCCUCUCAUCCUCAAUCCAUCCACUCAUCCA